CAGAUAUAGUUUAUCAAAAAUACCUGUUUUAGGCACAGGAGAUACUAAAAUAGUUUUCUGA
rnacentral:tRNA from 1 species